GUGCUCCGCUUUGGCAGCACAUAUACUAAAAUUGAUCGAUACAGAAAGAUUAGCAUGGCCUCCUGCGAAAGGAUACACGCAAAUCCGUUGAAGCGCGCCUUAUUUUC
rnacentral:snRNA from 1 species